rnacentral:rRNA from 1 species
AUUGAACGCUGGCGGCAGGCCUAACACAUGCAAGUCGAGCGGUAGCACAGGAGAGCUUGCUCUCUGGGUGACGAGCGGCGGACGGGUGAGUAAUGUCUGGGAAACUGCCUGAUGGAGGGGGAUAACUACUGGAAACGGUAGCUAAUACCGCAUAACGUCGCAAGACCAAAGAGGGGGACCUUCGGGCCUCUUGCCAUCAGAUGUGCCCAGAUGGGAUUAGCUAGUAGGUGGGGUAACGGCUCACCUAGGCGACGAUCCCUAGCUGGUCUGAGAGGAUGACCAGCCACACUGGAACUGAGACACGGUCCAGACUCCUACGGGAGGCAGCAGGGGGGAAUAUUGCACAAGGGGCGCAAGCCUGAUGCAGCCAUGCCGCGUGUAUGAAGAAGGCCUUCGGGUUGUAAAGUACUUUCAGCGGGGAGGAAGGUGCUGAGGUUAAUAACCUCAGCAAUUGACGUUACCCGCAGAAGAAGCACCGGCUAACUCCGUGCCAGCAGCCGCCGUAAAAC